rnacentral:rRNA from 1 species
UACGUAGGGUGCAAGCGUUGUCCGGAAUUAUUGGGCGUAAAGAGCUCGUAGGCGGUUUGUCGCGUCUGCUGUGAAAACUCAGGGCUUAACCCUGAGCCUGCAGUGGGUACGGGCAGACUAGAGUGUGGUAGGGGAGAUCGGAAUUCCUGGUGUAGCGGUGGAAUGCGCAGAUAUCAGGAGGAACACCGGUGGCGAAGGCGGAUCUCUGGGCCUGUGACUGACGCUGGAGGAGCGAAAGCGUGGGGAGCGAACAGG